GUAGGUAAAGUUUGCCAUAGCAGCAGUGAUGUGAAAAGUGAGAGAUCAGUCUGUAAAUCAGUUCAAUCUCUGCUAACAACUGGGAAAAUUCCAGAGCCUCCUAGCCAGACAAAACAUAUUAUUUGUUCAGCUGGUUAUUCAAUUAAGCAGUCUGUUGUUGAAGAGGAUACGCAGAAUUGCUCAAGCUCAACAGGGGUGUAUGCUGCAAUGUCUUCUAGAGGAUUUUCAUCAACUUGUCCAAGUACUUGUAGUGAAGAGUUGGAUAGGCGCCCAGAACCAGCUAAGAACAACAAAAAGAGGGCAAGACCUGGUGAAAGCUGCAGGCCUAGACCAAGGGACAGACAACUGAUUCAAGAUCGUAUUAAAGAGCUGAGGGAGCUCGUACCCAAUGGGGCAAAGUGCAGUAUUGAUUCCCUGCUGGAGCGCGCGAUCAAACACAUGCUGUUUUUAGAAAGUAUCACGAAACAUGCUGACAAGCUCAAUAAGUGUGCUGAAUCGAAGAUGUAUCAGAAGGGAACAGAUGCCUCUAACUAUGAAAAGGGUUCAAGCUGGGCAGUGGAGGUGGGAGGCCACCUAAAAGUUUCUUCAAUAAUGGUAGAGAACCUAAACAAGAAUGGGCAGAUGCUUGUGGAGAUGCUAUGUGAGGAAUGCAGUCAUUUUCUUGAGAUAGCAGAAGCUAUCAGAAGCUUGGGUCUGACAAUUUUGAAAGGGAUUACAGAAGUGCAUGGUGAGAAGAUAUGGAUAUGUUUCAUGGUUGAGGGACAAAACAACAGAGUUAUGCAUAGAAUGGAUAUCUUAUGGUCACUGGUGCAGAUAUUGCAACCAAAAACUUCAAACUAGCAACAAAGGCCAGUCAGCUCUUGGAGAUUGUGGUGUUGUUCCACUGUAAAAUAGCUAGUAAUUUGUGAUCUUUGAAUGGCAUUUUUUUUAGUUGUGAUUCUUGUUUGUAUUCCCCUUUUCCUAAAAUAAAAGGAAAGGAGAAGAAAUGAAGGCCAGCAUUUAUGUGAAGGGCUUCUUUAUCUUGUACUUGGCAAUGCGUGUGAUAAGCAUCCAUUUUCCUCCCGGAUUUAAACCCAUCAUUUGUUUGAAAGUUAAAUUAUGAAAUAAUGUAGGAAGCCAUUGUUCAGUAUUACAUUAUCAGUAUCUUUCUUGGUUA
rnacentral:misc_RNA from 1 species